rnacentral:rRNA from 1 species
GGAGUUAGCCGGUGCUUCUUCUGUGAGUGAUGUCCUUCCUGCCGGCUAUUAACCCGCAGGCCUUCUUCCUCACUGAAAGUGCUUUACAACCCGAAGGCCUUCUUCACACACGCGGCAUGGCUGGAUCAGGGUUGCCCCCAUUGUCCAAUAUUCCCCACUGCUGCCUCCCGUAGGAGUCUGGGCCGUGUCUCAGUCCCAGUGUGGCUGAUCAUCCUCUCAGACCAGCUACGGAUCGUCGCCUUGGUGAGCCGUUACCUCACCAACCAGCUAAUCCGACAUAGGCUCAUCCGAUAGCGCGAGGCCCGAAGGUCCCCCGCUUUCCCCCGUAGGGCGUAUGCGGUAUUAGCCUGGGUUUCCCCCAGGUUAUCCCCCGACUACCGGGCAGAUUCCUAUGCAUUACUCACCCGUCCGCCGCUCGCCACCAGGGAGCAAGCUCCCCGUGCUGCCGCUCGACUUGCAUGUGUUAGGCGUGCCGCCGAGCGUUCAUCUGAGCAGAAUACAACUACUGA